GUCUAUGGCCAUACCACACUGAAUGCACCUGAUUUUGGAAGCUAAGCAGGGGUAGGCUUGAUUAGCACUUGGAUGGGAGACCACCUGGGAAUACCGGGUGUUGUAGGCU
rnacentral:rRNA from 1 species